GAUGAACGCUGGCGGCGUGCUUAACACAUGCAAGUCGAACGGAAAGGCCCAAGCUUGCUUGGGUACUCGAGUGGCGAACGGGUGAGUAACACGUGGGUGAUCUGCCCUGCACUUCGGGAUAAGCCUGGGAAACUGGGUCUAAUACCGGAUAGGACCACAUUUUGGAUGGUGUGGUGGAAAGUUUUUCGGUGUGGGAUGAGCUCGCGGCCUAUCAGCUUGUUGGUGGGGUAAUGGCCUACCAAGGCGUCGACGGGUAGCCGGCCUGAGAGGGUGUACGGCCACAUUGGGACUGAGAUACGGCCCAGACUCCUACGGGAGGCGGCAGCGGGGAAUAUUGCACAAUGGGCGCAAGCCUGAUGCAGCGACGCCGCGUGGGGGAUGACGGCCUUCGGGUUGUAAACUCCUUUCGCUAGGGACGAAGCGUUAUGUGACGGUACCUGGAGAAGAAGCACCGGCUAACUACGUG
rnacentral:rRNA from 1 species